rnacentral:hammerhead_ribozyme from 1 species
AUCCAGAUAACGAGUCCCAAAUAGGACAAAACCUAUGUCCUAGAU